GCAAGACUAAAACUCAAAGGAAUUGACGGGGACCCGCACAAGCGGUGGAGCAUGUGGUUUAAUUCGAUGCAACGCGAAAAACCUUACCACUUCUUGACAUGGAGGCUAGAUCCUUCUUAACAGAAGGGCGCAGUUCGGCUGGGCCUCGCACAGGUGCUGCAUGGCUGUCGUCAGCUCGUGUCGUGAGAUGUUGGGUUAAGUCCCGCAACGAGCGCAACCCUCAUCCUUAGUUACCAGCGGGUAAUGCCGGGCACUUUAAGGAAACUGCCAGUGAUAAACUGGAGGAAGGUGGGGAUGAUGUCAAGUCAGCACGGCCCUUAUGGGGUGGGCUACACACGUGCUACAAUGGCGACUACAAUAGGUUGCAACGUCGCAAGGCUGAGCUAAUCCGUAAAAGUCGUCUCAGUUCGGAUUGUCCUCUGUAACUCGAGGGCAUGAAGUCGGAAUCGCUAGUAAUCGUGGAUCAGCAUGCCACGGUGAAUACGUUCUCGGGUCUUGUACACACUGCCCGUCACGCCAUGGGAAUUGGCUUAACUCGAAGCUGGUGCGCCAACCGUAAGGAGGCAGCCAUUUAAGGUUGGG
rnacentral:rRNA from 1 species